CCAACUGUUAAGGUUUGGAAGUCCUUAGCCCACAAUAGUUUCUUCUAGUUUUCCUAUCCAAUUUUGCUCUCUCAUCUCUUCUAUAUAUGCUUAGUUUACUUACAACUUACAAGUCAAGUGAUGGGGUCUUUGAAAGUAUGUACCUGUCUGAAUCUUAAGAUGGUAAAGAAUCUCGAUGCUAAAAUAAUGCCGAUAUUAUUUUGUCAGUGGACUCGAGAUUAUUUCGUCAAAGUUCUUCCACAAGAACUACAUUUUGUAGAAUUUCAUCUCGCUGUAGAAAUUGGAAAUUGCAUUCUGAAAUUCGUCAGCAGGAGGAUUUUGAGGCUAAGAAAGAAGAUUGUAGCUUAUGUUUCUUUUUAGAUUUUACCUUCUGAUAUUUGGAUUUAACCAUGCUCUACAAAUAUGUUACAGGAGAGAGAAUUACUUUCUCCAUACCGAAUCAUAACUGUAUAUUAGACUUCUGUUUACAUAAGAGAGAAUUACUCUGCAUACUAGAUCACAUCUUCUGUCCCUUUGGUUUUGUAACUUUGCAAUAAGGGACGUUUUAGGGUAGCCGAUGAUUCCAGAUCCAUCUCCUCUUUUGUUUUGCCUCACAUUACAGUGUAGAAUCCAAUUGCUAUUAUUGUUGCACCGAUGAUGCUGCAAAAUAGCACAAGGAGAACAAAAAAAUGAAUUCUUAUUCUAGGUGGGUGGAAGAGUAUUUCCGAGGAUGACGACUCUCAUGGCAGCUGCAAUACCAUGAACAAUGGCUUGAACAUGGCCAUAUUUAUAGGUCCCCUUAAGUGCUAUGAAUAACAUUGUUCAAGCCAGAGCCAAAAAACCCCUGCUGUAAUUUCCAACCCAACUUCAGAAUCCAGUUGGAAUAGAGGAACAAGCAACUAUUUUCAUCUCUUACUGAGCAUAAGAUGGAGGCUAACGCCAGAUUAGGUCUUAGUAUCCAUUUGCUAGAGUAGGUUUCUGCGAUGAGACCUACGAAUGCAGCUGGGAUGCUCUCGAAUAAGCUGUAGAAGAACAUCAGUGUCAGUUCUGCUGGGUAUUCUUUCAUAAUAUGCGUAUUCACGAAACUCAAGUCAGAAGUUUUAUUUAUUUUUAACCUUAAUAAUCCAAUCUAGUGUAACAACAGUAGUAUAAAUCGGACUAGACUGACCGGUUCAUUCACGUUCUGAUUUGACUAAACAUAAAGAUAGAAACCAUUCAUUAUUCAUACAAGUAAAGAACUCGUCGGUUCACAUAAAUAUUUUGGGGGAAAAAAAAAAAAGAAAUAUUAAAAAGUAAAGUAACUUUUAAGCUUCGAGAAACAUGCAAUUAAAUUUCACGCUUUCUAGAUUCAAAUAUUUUUCUACUAGUUGUAUUGCCAUGUUGGUGUUCUCACUUUCUAGUGCCUGUAUUGCCAUGUUGGUGUUCUCACUUUCUAGUGCCUGUCUUACCAGUAUGCAAAAGAUUAUGAAUUCGACGCCCCAGUCAAAUUGUUGGACAAACUUUUGCAUGCAAUGGCACAAUCAAUAGACGAGCAGCUAGUUGUUGUUUCUCAGGUUUUUCCCUCUUUUUCAGUAACUACCUCCAUUAAGUAUUCUGAGGGAACUUCCAAAUUUGAACUAAUAAUUACUCAACUGGUUGAGAUUGUAUUAGGUGCUUGUUGCUGACAUCAAUAUUGGAUAUGAAGAUAUAGUCAACACUCAGGUGGAAUAAUUUUGACCUAACAUAGCUGGUGAUAUCAGCAUUUGAUAUUGGCAAUUUUAUUGGUAUUGAUAAAUAUUUUACCUGUUAAUGUAUAUAUAGGUUCAUGCCUUCAAUGGAAAGCAUAUCACGAAUCUAAAGAGCUUGGCAAGCAUGGUGGAAAGCUGUGAAGAAGAAUUUUUGAAGUUUGAUCUUGAAUGUGAGCAGGUUCGUCUUCCUGCCCAAACCCUCUCCCCCAAGAGGAAAAAAAUGCAAGAAAAUGAAAGGCUCAGUUGACGACAGUGAUCAUGGUAACACUUUUGGUAUGUUCUAACCGGAUUCUUCUCUACUAUGUGUAGAUUGUGGUCUUACAGACUCAGAAGGCAAAGGCUGCAACUAAAGACAUUCUUGCGAUGCAUUGUAUCCCUUCAGCCAUGUCCGAUGAUCUUAAGACAUGAAAGCCAACUGUUAAGGUUUGGAAGUCCUUAGCCCACAAUAGUUUCUUCUAGUUUUCCUAUCCAAUUUUGCUCUCUCAUCUCUUUUAUAUAUGCUUAGUUUACUUACAACUUACAAGUCAAGUGAUGGGGUCUUUGAAAGUAUGUACCUGUCUGAAUCUUAAGAUGGUAAAGAAUCUCGAUGCUAAAAUAAUGCCGAUAUUAUUUUGUCAGUGGACUCGAGAUUAUUUCGUCAAAGUUCUUCCACAAGAACUACAUUUUGUAGAAUUUCAUCUCGCUGUAGAAAUUGGAA
rnacentral:lncRNA from 1 species